rnacentral:rRNA from 1 species
GACGAACGCUGGCGGCGUGCUUAACACAUGCAAGUCGAACGGUGAAAGCGGAGCUUGCUCCGCUGGAUCAGUGGCGAACGGGUGAGUAACACGUGGGCAACCUGCCCCUCACUUCGGGAUAACUCCGGGAAACCGGGGCUAAUACCGGAUAUGACCUCCUUGGGCAUCCUUGGAGGUGGAAAGUUUUUCGGUGAGGGAUGGGCCCGCGGCCUAUCAGCUUGUUGGUGAGGUAGUGGCUCACCAAGGCGACGACGGGUAGCCGACCUGAGAGGGUGAUCGGCCACACUGGGACUGAGACACGGCCCAGACUCCUACGGGAGGCAGCAGUAGGGAAUCUUCCGCAAUGGACGAAAGUCUGACGGAGCAACGCCGCGUGAGUGAUGAAGGCUUUCGGGUCGUAAAACUCUGUUGUUAGGGAAGAACAAGUGCUAGUUGAAUAAGCUGGCACCUUGACGGUACCUAACCAGAAAGCCACGGCUAACUACGUGCCAGCAGCCGCCGUAA